GAAUAAAUUUGGUUUUGGAAUCUAAAGUUGGGGAGAGUAAAGUGAAAAGUUGAUUAGAAACUUGGAAAAAUGAGUUUUUACGAAAGGGUAAAAAUAUGAAAAGAAACAAGAAAAAGAAAUCACCCUUGAAACCAUAGAGCAAAAAAAAAAAGAAAAAAAAAGAAGCAAAGAAAAUGCUCAUGGUUGUGUGGAUUUGAAAAGAAAA
rnacentral:lncRNA from 1 species